UGGUGAUAAUAGCGAGCGUGCCCCACCUGAUUCCAUUUCGAACUCAGUAGUGAAACCGCUUUGCGCCGAUGAUAGUGUGGGGUAACCCAUGUGAAAGUAGGUCAUCGCCA
rnacentral:rRNA from 2 species